rnacentral:lncRNA from 1 species
GUCAACUUCCCUUUGUGCUGUAGCGAAGGGCUCUUCUUUUAAUUGCUUUCAGCACGCAGCACAAGGAUGGCUUUGUGAACCCCACUUUCCUGCACUGCAGGGACAGGUUUGAUAAGAAUAUGUCAAAAGAUGUGGACUCUGCAUUUUACAAAUGCAGACAGAAACUGGUGAACUUACUGAACACACGCAUCUAGAACUGAGUCGUGGCAUUCAGUGACCAUCUCGAGCAAGCCUUUGCUGGGCAGAGGGCAAUCUGUAUUCCCCUCUGAAGUCCAGAAGAGCUUUUACGGCAGCAGAGACAUGACUGUGACGAGAGCCUGGUGAGCCUGCCCAGAGAUUGUGGAGGGUUGAGGAGCGUGUCCAAUCCCACCGGAGCCCAGCACCCAGGACAGCCUGAUGGAUUCUCUCCCCUUUGCGCAUUUAUGUUUCCUGCUUCUGACCGUUUCAUCUCCCUUUCUAAAUACUGCCACGUCCAGUGGUGACUCUGCUGAGGGGACAAAAGGCUCUUCCUUUAGCAGCACAAAAGUGACAGCCUACGACUGCAAGCAUUGUGGUGUCAGCGUAUGCGAGUUAUCCAAUUUCAGUUGCUGUACCAUAAUUGGUGAAACACAAGACGAGACGUUUUCAAAUGAAGUAAUUCAGCUGGUGACCAAUGAAACGCACAUCACUAUGUGUUUUCAGCAAGCAAAUACUUUUUCGGAACAAAUUUACGCCAUCAUCUGGGCAAAAGCUGGGGGAAUAGGAGAUUCAUGUGGCAUCCUGAAGGCUGAAGGUUACAUGUCAUCUUCAGUCAGCAAACAAGGCACCAUUGGCAUCAGCACUACGUUUGUGUCUCUUGUGGCAUGUCUUGUAGGUCUGGCGUAUUGUGUUCUAAAAAACCGAACCCGUGAAGGUAAAAAUAAUGGAAUUGUUGAACAAUCACCACAUUCUCUCAGUGUUCAGCAAGACCAAUCUAUCAGCAUUACUUGCUCACUGAAAAGCUCACAUGAAGAAGAAGGGGUCUUCUUGCUCAGGACUCAUAUGAAAGCUGAUAUUUCUCAAAGCAAAAUAUUUCAACUAUCUUUCCUGCUUUUGCAAAUCGCUUGGAGUACUCAAAGCAAGAGAAGACAUUGGUGA